rnacentral:rRNA from 1 species
GACAGCGGUGUUAUCACCUGAUGGGGCUGAUCUCUUUGGAUCUCGGGAGGCAAGCAAGGCUGAGCCUGGGCAGUGCUGGGAUGGGAGACCUCUGAGGAUAACUGGGUGGCUGCUGUAC